rnacentral:lncRNA from 1 species
GUUACAACUGGGAGCCCGGGUGGGCAGGUGAUUGCAAGAGAAUUCUUUGGAGUGAGAAGAUUUUGCUGUGAGAAAGGAGAAGAUUAAUCAGGAAAGUCUGUCUGAAGAAGGAAGUUUCCCAAGGAAACUUCUAACUCAAGGGCAUAGGAGAGCCGAAGCAGUGUGCCUCACCUUCAACUGUGUAUCUCCAGGUUUUCCUCUCAUUCUUUAACUUGCUCCUGUAUUUUAGGUUGCUGUUUGUGUUUGUC